AGUGAACGCUGGCGGCAGGCCUAACACAUGCAAGUCGAACGGCAGCACAGAGGAGCUUGCUCCUUGGGUGGCGAGUGGCGAACGGGUGAGGAAUGCAUCGGAAUCUGCCCAAUCGUGGGGGAUAACCUCGGGAAACCGGGACUAAUACCGCAUACGACCUUCGGGUGAAAGCAGGGGAUCGCAAGACCUUGCGCGAUGGGAUGAGCCGAUGCCGGAUUAGCUAGUUGGCGGGGUAAAGGCCCACCAAGGCGACGAUCCGUAGCUGGUCUGAGAGGAUGAUCAGCCACACUGGAACUGAGACACGGUCCAGACUCCUACGGGAGGCAGCAGUGGGGAAUAUUGGACAAUGGGCGCAAGCCUGAUCCAGCCAUGCCGCGUGGGUGAAGAAGGCCUUCGGGUUGUAAAGCCCUUUUGUUGGGAAAGAAAAGCGGCCGGUUAAUACCCGGUUGUUCUGACGGUACCCAAAGAAUAAGCACCGGCUAACUUCGUGCCAGCCGCCGCAGUAA
rnacentral:rRNA from 1 species